AGAGUUUGAUCAUGGCUCAGGACGAACGCUGGCGGCGUGCUUAACACAUGCAAGUCGAGCGGUAAGGCCCUUUCGGGGGUACACGAGCGGCGAACGGGUGAGUAACACGUGGGUGACCUGCCCUCAGCUCUGGGAUAAGCCUGGGAAACUGGGUCUAAUACCGGAUAUGACUCCAUGACGCAUGUUGUGGGGUGGAAAGCCUUGUGCGGCUGGGGAUGGGCCCGCGGCCUAUCAGCUUGUUGGUGGGGUGAUGGCCUACCAAGGCGACGACGGGUAGCCGGCCUGAGAGGGCGACCGGCCACACUGGGACUGAGACACGGCCCAGACUCCUACGGGAGGCAGCAGUGGGGAAUCUUGCGCAAUGGGCGAAAGCCUGACGCAGCGACGCCGCGUGAGGGAUGACGGCCUUCGGGUUGUAAACCUCUUUCAGCUCCGACGAAGCGAAAGUGACGGUAGGAGCAGAAGAAGCACCGGCCAACUACGUGCCAGCAGCCGCGGUAAUACGUAGGGUGCAAGCGUUGUCCGGAAUUAUUGGGCGUAAAGAGCUCGUAGGCGGUCUGUCGCGUCGGCGGUGAAAACUCGGGGCUCAACUCCGAGCUUGCAGUCGAUACGGGCAGGCUAGAGUUCGGCAGGGGAGACUGGAAUUCCUGGUGUAGCGGUGAAAUGCGCAGAUAUCAGGAGGAACACCGGUGGCGAAGGCGGGUCUCUGGGCCGAUACUGACGCUGAGGAGCGAAAGCGUGGGGAGCGAACAGGAUUAGAUACCCUAGUAGUCC
rnacentral:rRNA from 1 species